CAAUAGCGUAUAUUUAAGUUGUUGCAGUUAAAAAGCUCGUAGUCGGAUUUUGGCUGAGAACGAUCGGUCCGCCGUUAGGUGUGCACUGAUUGGUCUCAGCUUCCUGGUGAGGAGGUGUGCUUCACGGCCACUUAGUCACCGUGGUUACUUUGAAAAAAUUAGAGUGUUCAAAGCGGGCUUACGCUUGAAUAUAUUAGCAUGGAAUAACACCAUAGGACUCCUGUCCUAUUUCGUUGGUCUCGGGACGGGAGUAAUGAUUAAGAGGAACAGUUGGGGGCAUUCGUAUUUCAUUGUCAGAGGUGAAAUUCUUGGAUUUAUGAAAGACGAGCUUCUGCGAAAGCAUUUGCCAAGGAUGUUUUCAUUGA
rnacentral:rRNA from 1 species